rnacentral:lncRNA from 1 species
AAAUCCAUUAGAAUUAGCAGCAUUCAUCAGAUUGUGUCUCAGACUAUUCUGGAAACAGUGGACAAGAUUGACAUCUUUUUUUUUUUUUUUUUGAGAUGAAGUCUCGCUCUGUUGCCCAGGCUGGAGUGCAGUGGCUCAAUCUCGGCUCACUGCAGCCUCACUCCCAGGUUCCAGCGAUUCUCCUGCCUCAGUCUCCCAAGUAGCUGAGAUUACAGGCGCCCACCACCACACCUGGCUAAUUUUUUGUAUUUUUGGUAGAGACAGGGUUUUGCCAUGUUGCCCAGGCUGGUCUCAAACUCCUGACCUCAGGCAAUUUGCUGCUGCAGCCUCCCAAAGUGCUGGGAUUACAGGCGUGAGCCACUGUGCCUGGCUUUCACGGAGUUUUAAAUUUUUGAUUGGAAGCUUAUACACAUGUUAAGAGCAUUUUGAAAUAAGCGCAUAUAUUCAGUUCUUCGAAUUGUAUACCAGGAGCAAAUAAGACGGAAGGUUCUAGCAAAUGUCAGGCAUCCUCUCCAAUUUUCUUAUUUUAGCCAAUAAUGACAUACCAGUUGAAGAAAUCCAUUCUCCAUUUACAACAAUACUUUUGAGAACAUUUUUGAAUUACCUCCUGCAUUUGGCGUACCACAUUUAUCAUGAAGAAUUCCAAAAGAGAAGCCCAUCCCUCUUCUUGUGUUUUACAAAACUGAUGACCGAGAACAUUCGUCCAAAUGCCUGCCAGAUAAAAGGCAAUUUAUUCUGUGAGCAACAGCGGACGCUCUACUCUAUGAGUUACAUGAAUAAGUGCUGGGAGAUUUAUCUCGCCUACUGCAGACGCAGCGCAGCGCCUCCCCACGAGCCUACGAUGAAGAUGAGACACUUCCUCUGGAUGCUGAAAGACUUUAAAAUGAUAAAUAAAGAAUUAACAGCAGCUACAUUUAUGGAGGUCAUAGCAGAGGAUAAUCCGUUCAUAUAUGAUGGAAUUGACAGCAACUUUGAACCUGAGCUGGUUUUCCUGGAAUUCUUUGAAGCUCUCUUAAGCUUUGCAUUCAUCUGUGUUACUGACCAAAUGACUAAAUCCUAUACAAAUGUUCCAGCUGAUGAUGUGUCUGGAAAUAAACAUGAAACUAUUUAUACAAUACUAAAUCAGGUAACACAUAAUAUCUUAGAAUUAGGUAAUCUUAGAAUUAUAGAGUAAGGAGGGCUGGGCACGGUGGGUCACGCUUGUAAUCCCAGCACUUUGGGAAGCCGAGGCGGGCGGAUCACGAGGUCAGAAGAUCGAGACCAUCCUGGCUAACAUGGUGAAACCCCGUCUCUAUUAAAACUACAAAAAAAUUAGCCGGGCGUGGUGGCAGGCACCUGUAGUCCCAGCUACUGGGGAGGCUGAGGCAGGAGAAUGGCAUGAACCCAGGAGGUGGAGGUUGCAGUGAGCUGAGAUUGUGCCACUGCACUCCAUCCUGGGCGUCAGAGCAAGACUUCUCAAAACAAAACAAAAAAACCAAACAAACAAAAAGAAUUACAAAGCAAGGAAUGGCUUUAUUCUGGAAUGGUUAAACCAUCAUCAAAACUAUCUUGGCUUUACUAACCCUUCCAGAAAGUAAUUUAAGAAGUCUUUCCAUUUUCCUUUUAAAAUUUUCUUUUAUGUGUUUUGAGACAGGGAUUCACUCUGUUGUCCAGGCUUGAGUGCAGUGGUGCAAUCAUGGCUCACUGUAGCCUUGACCUCCUGAGCUCACACGCUCCUCCCACCUUAGCCUCCUGAGUAGCUAGGACUACAGGCAUGUGCCACCACACCCAGCUAAUUUUUUUUUUUUUUUUUGAGACAGAGCUUCAUUCUAUUGCCCAGGCUGGAGUGUGGUGGCACGAUCUCGGCUCGCUGCAAUCUCCGCCUCCUGGAUUCAAGUGAUUCAUGCCUCAGCCUCCUGAGUAGCUGGGAUUACAGGCGUGUGCCACCAUACCUGGCUAAUUUUUUAUAUUUUUAGUAGAGACGGGGUUUCGCCAUGUUGACCAGGCUGGUCUCGAACUCCUGACUUCAGUUGAUCCGCCUGCCUCGGCCUCCCAAAGUGCUGGGAUUACAGGCCUGAGCCACUGUGCCUGGCCUUUUUGUAUUUUUUUGUAGAGAUGGGGUUUUGCCAUGUUGUCCAGGCUGGUCUCAAACUCCUGAGCUCAAGUGAUCCUCCUGCCUCAGCCUCCCAAAGUGCUGCGAUUACACGUGUGAGCCACCAUGCCCGGCCAAGAUGUCUUUUUCACAUUUUGGAAGUGUAUAUAGAUUUUUUUAAGUUAGGGAAAAUGUGUUUCCUGGCCAUGAUCCAGGAAGUGGACUCCUAGCCACAGCAGAGAGUUGCUGAUGAAGGGGAGAGUGCAUACCGACAUGCUGGGUGGGCCGCUAGACCACACUUUAGAAAAUCAGAGGUGUUUUACUAGGAGAUGUUUCGUUAUACGGAUCCAGUGUUUCUAAGAGUGGAAAGCCUGCUCAGGAGCAGAUGUGUCGAAUAGUUCCUGAGUGUGUGUGGGAUGCUAACCAGGUCCCCAGGGCUUGCUCACAAGCAUGGACACCCAGGCCAGGCACGGCGGCUCACGCCUGUAAUCUCAGCACUUUGGGAGGCCAAGGUGGGCGGAUCACUUGAGGUCAGGAAUUCGAGACCAGCCUGGCCCACCAUGGUAAAACCCCGUCUCUACUAAAAAGACACUGGAAACUGAACGUUCAUGUCAUGCUCCAAGGGAAUCACUGCUCCCUUUUGACCAACGAUUUGGGAAUGUGAUUUAGAGAUCAGAGAGAGGCUCAGCUUCAAACUUAUCAAAGCCGGUCCUUCUUGCUCAGCUCACGGUGGUUUCACACACUCUAGUAAUUUGCGGAGGCAAAGGUAGAAUUCUGUUCCACAGAGGUAAGCGUGCUAUGAAGAGGGACAGCAAGCUCCAGAGAUGUGCAGAAGGCUCCCCUUGAGCCGUCAGCUGAGUGUGCACGCAUGUGAGGGAACAGCUGGAACCUAAGGGAAGAGCAGCCAGGAAGAAGGGGAGGGACCUCAAGGACUCACGCAGGGCUGGGAGUAGUUUGCAUUUCCAGUCGCCAGCGUAGAGAAGCCUUCGCAUCCAUGAGGAGCUGGGAGUAGUUUGCAUUUCCAGUCGCCAGCGUAGAGAAGCCUUCGCAUCCAUGAGGGGCAUCAGGCUGGGUACUUAAAAGUUCACUGUGUGUGUGUGUGUGUGUGUGUGUGUUUCUUUUUUUUGACAAAAUCUUGCUCUGUUGCCCAGGCUCGAGUGCAGUGGCACAAUCUUGGCUCACUGCAGCCUCUGCCUCCCAGGUUCAGGGUGACUCUCCUGCCUUGGCCUCCCGAGCAGCUGGGAUUACAGGUGCGCACCACCACACCUGGCCAAUUUUUGUAUUUUUAGUAAAGACAGGGUUUCACCGUGUUGGCCAGCCUGGUCUUGCACUCCCGGCCUCAAGUGAUCCGCCCGCCUCAUUCUCUGAAACUUCUGGGAUUACAGGCAUGAGCGAAGCCGCCUGCCCUGUUAUUUAUUUUUUUUAGAGACAGGGUCUUGCUCUCUUGCCCAGGCUGGUCUCAAACCCCUGGGCUCAGGUGAUCCGCCCACCUUGGCCUCCCAAAGUGCUGAGAUUACAGGCGGGAGCCACUGUGCCUGAUUCGGUUCACUGUCUUGACUGAGGCGAUGGUUUCACAGGUAUAGAUGUGUGAAAACACAUCAAAGGGUACAGUUUAUGUGUAGUUCAUUGUAAAUCAGUUACAGCCCAU